CAGUAGCCGCGGUAAUACAGAGGGUGCGAGCGUUAAUCGGAUUUACUGGGCGUAAAGCGUGCGUAUGCGGCUUCUUAAGUCGGAUGUGAAAUCCCUGAGCUUAACUUAGGAAUUGCAUUCGAUACUGGGAAGCUAGAGUAUGGGAGAGGAUGGUAGAAUUCCAGGUGUAGCGGUGAAAUGCGUAGAGAUCUGGAGGAAUACCGAUGGCGAAGGCAGCCAUCUGGCCUAAUACUGACGCUGAGGUACGAAAGCAUGGGGAGCAAACAGGAUUAGAUACCCGAGUAGUCCCUGUCUCUUAACA
rnacentral:rRNA from 1 species